ensembl:lncRNA
UGCAGGUUCAAGCCCAACCUGGGCAACACGAUAUCUUAGCAAGACUCUGUAAAAACAAAAAAGUACUGGGGAUGUAGAGGAGUAUAAUGAUCCUGGGUUCAACUUCCAGUACUUGGUAAAGAAAGGAAGGAAAAAUAGAAAAAGAGAAUCCUGCCAUUUGUGACAUGAGUAGAAUUCCAGAACACUAUUCAAUUGAAAUAAGCCAAAGAUAUAAAGAUAAACUCAAAGAAGGAGAAAGUAAAAUGGAGGCUACCAGAAGAUUGUGUCUCCAGUGUUUCCUAACAGAGGGCUUUGGAUAUGAAAGCUGGACACAGUGAUGUGCUCCUAUUGUUCCAGCUACUCAGAAGGUGGAAGCAAGAAGACAGUGUUCACCCAGAAGUUUGAGAUCAGCCUUGACAAAACAGUGAAAUCCUGUCUCAUAGAAAAAGUCUUUGAAGCUCACAUGAAACAAGGGGACACUUUCUGUCUGUACUGGCCAACACAGAAGUCAUCAUACUUCCUGAAGCUUAGGGGAAGCGUCAGAAGGUUUCACAUCAGUGAUGGGACAAAAUUAGCCCUAGCCUAAAUGCUGCUCUAAGUCCCAUAUAAUAAAGCUGAAAAGCAAUAUUCAAAAGAAUAAACCUCAAGAAUAUUUAUAGAAAUGAUAAAUAUCCAGCAUCUAAUAGGUAAAUUUAGGUCUGAAAUCCAGUAAAAUUUAAUUAAG